rnacentral:misc_RNA from 1 species
AACGCACCUUGCGCCCUUUGGUAUUCCAAAGGGCAUGCCUGUUUGAGUGUCAUGAAAACUCAUCCUCCUUGGGGUAUCCCCAAUUGGAGUGAUGGAUUGGGUGUCUGCCGAUUUAAUAUCGGCUCGCCUUAAAAGUAUCAGUGGUUAACAUGGGAUGUAAUACGUUUCGUCCUGUUCGACUGCUUAUAACACCAAUUCUUUCAAUCUGACCUCAAAUCAGGUAGGGCUACCCGCUGAACUUAA